GCCCCAGUAGCUCAGGGGAUAGAGCAGCGGCCUUCUAAUCCGCCGGUCGGGGGUUCGAUUCCCUCCUGGGGCACCG
rnacentral:tRNA from 2 species